CCUACGGGUGGCAGCAGUGGGGAAUAUUGCACAAUGGGGGAAACCCAGAUGCAGCAACGCCGCGUGAGCGAUGAAGGCCUUCGGGUCGUAAAGAUCUGUCCUAAGGGAAGAAUACUGACGGUACCUUAGGAGGAAGCCCCGUAUAACUACGUGCAAGCAGCCGCGGUAAUACGUAGGGGGGUAGCGUUAUCCGGAAUUACGGGGCGUAAAGGGUGCGUAGGCGGGCCAUCAAGUCAGAGGUGAAAGGCUACGGCUCUACCGUUGUAAGCCUUUGAAACUGAAGGGCUUGAGUGCAAGAGAGGAGAGUGGAAUUCCCAGUGUAGCGGUGAAAUGCGUAGAUAUUGGGAGGAACACCAGUUGCGAAGGCGGCUCUCUGGACUGUAACUGACGCUGAGGCUCGAAAGCGUGGGGAGAGAACAGGAUUAGAUACCCGGGUAGUC
rnacentral:rRNA from 1 species